CCGGCAGAACCUGAAACGUGGUAAACCUGUUGUAAAAACAGGAAAGCAGUGGACAAAUGCACUGACUUGGACCACUACUAACAGCUUGGAUGAGUAGGCCUAUACAGAGGCAGUUUCUGUGAGGAUAGUACCAACAUACAGGGUGUGCUAAAACAAUGACAAACCCUUGUUUAGCCUACAGGCACAGAAGGUUAAGGAUGGAAAAGGAGGAAGCGUUUAAGAGUGGUGACAGAGACAGCUCAAAACAGUGAAGUAUAGGUUCAACUAGGCUGUGAGAGAGGCUAAAUAACUGUACUCUACUGUACAAACGAAAACAAUCGGUUUAACCUAGCACGAGUUGCUGCAGCCAACAGUGCUAAUGGGGGCAUGAAUAUGGGGGCUCAUGAACAUCGCCGGAAACAUCGCUAGAGCCCACAAGGUUGAAUAAUUAAAAAAAAGAUUUAAAAUGUUGUAACUCAGUGAUAACAGGAAGUGCAUUUGAUUAGUUAGCAGAAAGCAUCUGAGAACAGUUUGGUUGUAAGUCUAGAUUUAAAACUGGCUACAGUUGGGGCCUUUUUGAGCUGAUUUUGGUUUGCGUAGCUCACUUAAAUGUUGUAAAAGUUACAAAGAAUAAGACACUGUAUUAUGUGAUGGCUCCGUUAUUUCAACCAAAACAUGUCUGAGCCUAGGUGAGAGAUUUCUGAGGCCUCUGCAAGCUAUUGUAUGCUGUACCUAUGGGAACUAGAAGAGACAACAAAAUUGGUGUGAAAGCACAUUCUAACACAGAGCUUGAAUAUUAUCCAACAAUGGAUUAAAGGUUUCUGAGUUAAUAGAUAGAUAGACACUUUAUUGAUCCCUAGGGGAAAUUCAAGAAAUGUUAAUGCUAAAUAUGGUAGGGUACAGAUCCCAAAUUGCAAAAUGUGUGCAGCUCUAGGUUUUACAGCUACAAUCUUCUGCAAUAUAAAAGCAUAUGUAACACGAUUUUAAAAACUUUUAUUUAGGUAAUAAACAUAUAGAGCCCAAAGUUAAACACAGAGCAAAGUACAAAGUCAGUGAAGGAGCAGUCUCCAUGAACUAAAGCUAUUGUGUGGCAUGUGAGAGUGUUGAGCCACCCCAGUUCCUUCCCUGUGUCUCCAGCCAGGUUGGAUAUUUGUUUGUCACUGCGACAAAUUAGUACGAUUACGGUAGUAGCAGUGGCCAUGCUUUUGGAUUCACUCACCUGUGCACUGGAUCCCUCUAGGUCCUUAGAAGACUGCUGGCCACAAACUGCUUUAAGGUUACCGCUGAAUGGUUGUCAACAUUCUAUGUGACAAUAUGGCUGUUCUGUUUCUGGUUUCAUUUCAUACUGUCUUGCCUCCGGUCAUGUGAUGUCUGUGUCUGCUCUCCCUGUGCUUGGACAACGCUGGUUCGAGUGCUGGUACAGGUGUGAGCUGUACAACGGCCGAAACCUGUUGCACCAUCCAGACUCAUCUGUGUUCAGUCUGUGCUUAUUCUUUGUUAUUUUCAUUUAGUGUAUUGUAUUUAUUUUUCUGUUCUGUGCUUAGGCUAAAUGGGGAACUCCCUUUAAGGCGUUUACUGUGUGCUGUGCUGUGCUUUGCCGUGCCUAUUGACUUGUACUGUUAAUUCACCCAGCUUGAUGUGUCUUUUGUGGAGCACUCUGACUUGCACCUUGGUUGGGGAUGUUGCAUCCCUCUCCUAAGUUCCCUGGAAACAAGCCUAAGCGCCGAGUAGACUUUUUUGUUUGUUUAAUAAAUCAUAUUAUAAUUUUGUAAA